UAAAGCGUGCGCAGGNGGNUUGGUAAGUCAGAUGUGAAAUCCCCGGGCUCAACCUGGGAACUGCAUUUGAGACUGCAAGACUGGAGUUUGGCAGAGGGGGGUGGAAUUCCACGUGUAGCAGUGAAAUGCGUAGAGAUGUGGAGGAACACCCAUGGCGAAGGCAGNCCCCUGGGNCAAUACUGACGCUCAUGCACGAAAGCGUGGGGAGCAAACAGGAUUAGAUACCCUGGUAGUCCACGCCCUAAACGAUGUCAACUAGGUGUUGGGAGGGUUAAACCUUUUUAGUGCCGUAGGUAACGCGUUAAGUUGACCGCCUNGGGAGUACGGGCGCAAGGNUAAAACUCAAAGGAAUUGACGGGGACCCGCACAAGCGGUGGAUUAUGUGGAUUAAUUCGAUGCAACGCNAAAAACCUUA
rnacentral:rRNA from 1 species